rnacentral:tRNA from 1 species
GCCUAAGUAAUUUAAUCAAAAUCUUGGUCUUGUAAGCCAAACAUGAGGAUGAAACUUCCUCCUAAGGCC